UACGUCUUGAGAGCUGAACUCCUCCUAGCUCCCUCGUUAACCACCCUGAUUGGACGACAACUGCCGUUCACAGGACCCUUUCCAUAACCUGGAUUAUCUCUUCUUUCUCAGGAUCGAGAACUAACCAACCGGGGAUUCCUGUAAGCGUGCUUCAUUCAGCUAGCUUUCUCUGUCCUCUCCUCAGGGCUCAAGGAAGCAGCUAGGCUGCUCUCUAGUUAUAUCCCUUCUUCAUCGGGUUAAGAGAUCAGAUCAGUUGAACUCUGCGAGGCCCGCGUGCGACAAUGAUGGACCGCCUCGCCCAUGGAAAGCUAAGCAACCCUGAGUAGUGGUCACUAGAAGGAUGGGAGAGCGCGAGAACACCUCUGGAACAAAUUUCAUUUUUUCGAAAAAAAAGGGGCUGGAAAGUUGGAAGGUUCAAUGUGCAAGAGUGAAAUUGAAUACAAGCCUGUACGAAUCACCACUCGGGUAUUGACACUAUCUCAUAUACGCUACUGAAGCCCAAGUACCCACUCUAGUUAUGGAGGAGGCUAAUGGAAGGAGUCACGCGGUUCCAUUGUCAGAGGAACAAUAAUCAGUGAAAUACGUCCAAAUGGACCACCAUAACAUAUAAACCGUUGAUUUUUUCGGUGAAUUUUGAAAAUUUCUAAUAGAAAAUCUCCGAGAAGAGAAUAGAAAUUAUUUUUUAAAAUUAAACAUACACAUGAUAAAUUCAAUAUAAUAUAAGAUAUAUAACACAUUUUGAUAUGCAUCCCUUAGCUAUACGCCCAUAAAAGACGUAUUAUCUCAAAACUCAAAAGAAACAUUUUUCUAAGCUUGCAAAGCCUUAAAAUAUAAAAGAAUCAAACGUAUAUUAUUAUUAUAAAAUAUAUAUUAUCAAUACAAUUAUAGUCUAUAUUUAUCUAUGUAUAAAAAUGUAAAUAUUAAUAAACAUAAAAAAGA